UUCAAGCUCCUUCUGUGCCUCUUCCUUUCUCUUCUGGGCUGUUCUUCUGCAAGCAAGCAAGAAAACCCUUUGCAACUGGAGAAAGGCUGGGCACACGGUGGCAGGAGUUGAAGAGCACUGAGAACGUGCGAGGAGGGCUUGGGAACCCGAAAGCCCUAAGACGGGAAUGGUGCGCCUGCUGAGGCCGCCCCAGACUGCAGGGGGGAAGUUCGGAUUCGGAAGGCAAUUUUGGGACUCCUGAGGCCGAGACCCCAAUCCACUCACUGGGAAAGGAGUUGGAAG